UCCGAGUUGACCCCGGCGGUCUCCCACGAGUCCCCACCACACCCGAAGGCGCGUGCUGGCAACGUAGGACAAGGGUUGCGCUCGUUGCGGGACUUAACCCAACAUCUCACGACACGAGCUGACGACAGCCAUGCACCACCUGUACACCGACAAAAAGGGGCCCCAUCUCUGGGGCUUUCCGGCGUAUGUCAAACCCAGGUAAGGUUCUUCGCGUUGCAUCGAAUUAAUCCGCAUGCUCCGCCGCUUGUGCGGGCCCCCGUCAAUUCCUUUGAGUUUCAUCGUUGCCGACGUACUCCCCAGGUGGCAUACUUACUGCGUUAACUGCGGCACCGGCCCCAACGGGCCAACACCUAGUAUGCAUCGUUUACAGCGUGGACUAC
rnacentral:misc_RNA from 1 species